rfam:Synechococcus sp. RS9917 scf_1099465004208 genomic scaffold, whole genome shotgun sequence.
GGGGGCGUGGCGGAAUCGGUAGACGCACGCGACUUAAAAUCGCUCGGGAUGUAAAUCCUGUGGGGGUUCAAGUCCCCCCGCCCCCA